CCAAGGAGUGCAACAUGCGUGCGAGUCUUGGGGUGGAAAACCCGGCGGCGCAAUGAAGGUGAAGGCAGGCGUUGGUCUGCUGAGGCGAGAGCUUCCUCCGGGGGCGCAUCGUCGACCGAUCCCAGGCUACGCUGUGGCGGGAUUUGAGUAAGAGCGUGCCUGUUGCGACCCGAAAGAUGGUGAACUAUGCCUGWUUAGGGUGAAGCCAGAGGAAACUCUGGUGGAAGCUCGUAGCGAUUCUGACGUGCAAAUCGAUCGUCAAAUUUGGGUAUAGGGGCGAAAGACUAAUCGAACCAUCUAGUAGCUGGUUCCCUCCGAAGUUUCCCUCAGGAUAGCUGGAGCCCGGUGCAGUUUUAUCAGGUAAAGCGAAUGAUUAGAGGUCUUGGGGUUGAAACAACCUCAACCUAUUCUCAAACUUUAAAUGGGUAAGAAGCUCGGCUUGCUCAAUUGAAGUCGGGCAUGGAAUGCCGGGGCUCUUAGUGGGCCAUUUUUGGUAAGCAGAACUGGCGAUGUGGGAUGAACCAAAUGCCGAGUUAAGGUGCCCGAAUCGACGCUCAUCAGAUCCCAUGAAAGGU
rnacentral:rRNA from 1 species